rfam:Streptomyces atratus strain OK807 genome assembly, contig: Ga0007934_1002
CGGGCCGUGUACUGCCAGACGGCGUCGCCGUCGACCAGGGCCUGGUCCCCGAAGUAGGCCCCGUCGGCGUGGACCCCGAGCACCGUCUCGUCCCCGUACGGACCGGUGCCGACCUUCUCGACCUUGCCGUGUGCCAGCAGAUAGACGCUGUCCGCCGCGUCCCCCGACGCGGCCAGCACCUGCCCCGCCGCGAUCUCUCGCUGCUCGCACCGCCGGGCGAGCUCGCCCAGCACUUCUUCGUCGCCGAAGUCCCGCAGGGCGGGGAGCUCUCCGAGCUCGGCGGGGAUGACCGCGACCCGGCCACCGGUCUGCACAAAGGUCACCCUGCCGUCCCCGACCGAGUAGCUCAGCCUGCGGUUCACCCGGUAGGUACCACCUUGCACCUGCACCCACGGCAGCAUCUUCAGCAGCCACCGCGAGGUGAUCUCCUGCAUCUGCGGGGCGGACUUGGUGGUCGUCGCGAGGUUCCGCGCCGCCGCCGUCCCCAGACUCUGCUGCGGCGGCAACGA